AUUGAACGCUGGCGGCAUGCCUUACACAUGCAAGUCGAACGGCAGCACGGGAGCAAUCCUGGUGGCGAGUGGCGAACGGGUGAGUAAUGCAUCGGAACGUGCCCAAUCGUGGGGGAUAACUGCUCGAAAGAGCAGCUAAUACCGCAUAAGACCUGAGGGUGAAAGCGGGGGAUCGCAAGACCUCGCGCGAAUGGAGCGGCCGAUGUCAGAUUAGCUAGUUGGUGGGGUAAAGGCCUACCAAGGCAACGAUCUGUAGUUGGUCUGAGAGGA
rnacentral:rRNA from 1 species